rnacentral:rRNA from 1 species
UGACAGGUGGUGCAUGGUUGUCGUCAGCUCGUGUCGUGAGAUGUUGGGUUAAGUCCCGCAACGAGCGCAACCCUCGACCUUAGUUGCCAGCAUUCAGUUGGGCACUCUAAGGUGACUGCCGGCUAAAAGUCGGAGGAAGGUGGGAUGACGUCAAAUCAUCAUGCCCCUUAUGACCUGGGCUACACACGUGCUACAAUGGGCGGUACAAAGGGUCGCGAACCCGCGAGGGGGAGCCAAUCCCAAAAAGCCGCUCUCAGUUCGGAUUGCAGGCUGCAACUCGCCUGCAUGAAGCCGGAAUCGCUAGUAAUCGCGGAUCAGCAUGCCGCGGUGAAUACGUUCCCGGGCCUU